GACGAACGCUGGCGGCCUUCUUAACACAUGCAAGUCGAACGGAAAGGCCCUGCUUUUGUGGGGUGCUCGAGUGGCGAACGGGUGAGUAACACGUGAGUAACCUGCCCUUGACUUUGGGAUAACUUCAGGAAACUGGGGCUAAUACCGGAUAGGAGCUCCUGCUGCAUGGUGGGGGUUGGAAAGUUUCGGCGGUUGGGGAUGGACUCGCGGCUUAUCAGCUUGUUGGUGGGGUAGUGGCUUACCAAGGCUUUGACGGGUAGCCGGCCUGAGAGGGUGACCGGCCACAUUGGGACUGAGAUACGGCCCAGACUCCUACGGGAGGCAGCAGUGGGGAAUAUUGCACAAUGGGCGGAAGCCUGAUGCAGCAACGCCGCGUGCGGGAUGACGGCCUUCGGGUUGUAAACCGCUUUCGCCUGUGACGAAGCGUGAGUGACGGUAAUGGGUAAAGAAGCACCGGCUAACUACGUG
rnacentral:rRNA from 1 species